rnacentral:rRNA from 1 species
AUUGAACGCUGGCGGCAGGCUUAACACAUGCAAGUCGAACGAGUGGCGGACGGGUGAGUAAUGCUUGGGAAACUAGCCUAUAGAGGGGGAUAACUACUGGAAAAUGUAGCUAAUACCGCGUACCAUCUGAUGAGCCCAAGGGGGAUUAGGUAGUUGGUGAGGUAAAGGCUCACCAAGACGACGAUCUCUAGCUGGUCUGAGAGGAUGACCAGCCACACUGGGACUGAGACACGGCCCAGACUCCGACGGGAGGCAGCAGUGGGGAAUAUUGCGCAAUGGGCGCAAGCUGACGGAGCAAUGCCGCGUGAGUGAAGAAGGCCUUCGGGUUGUAAAGCUCUGUCGGUAGCGAGGCGUUAACUACAGAAGAAGCACCGGCUAACUCCGUGCCAGCAGCCGCGGUAAUUC